UACGGAGGAUGCGAGCGUUAUCCGGAUUUAUUGGGUUUAAAGGGUGCGCAGGCGGAGGCACAAGUCAGCGGUAAAAUCGCGGGGCUCAACCCCGCUCCGCCGCUGAAACUGUGUCCCUUGAGUGCGCGAAGGGUAGGCGGAGUGCGUGGUGUAGCGGUGAAAUGCAUAGAUAUCACGCAGAACUCCGAUCGCGAAGGCAGCCUACCGGCGCGCAACUGACGCUCAUGCACGAAAGCGUGGGUAUCGAACAGG
rnacentral:rRNA from 1 species